UACGGCGGAGUUGGGUAAGGAAGUUAGGCAAGUAACAAAUAGUCAGGAUAUUAUUUAUUUUCAACAUAAAGUAAAGCUGGACACAUCACAUGCAGAAUAACGUCCCUUUAGAAUCAUAAUGACUAAAGAGAAAAGAAAAAGAAAGAAAAAAAAAAUCAUACUGACCAACAAAGAAUUAUAAUUAUAUAUGAGAUUGCUUACAUUAGGCACUUCACAAAAAAUUAUUUAGAGUAAAAACAUUUUAUUGCAACACAUCUUGAUCAAAUCUCUGGUCCUUGAAUUCUACAUUGGCCCAUUUUGUUAACCUCGUUCGCUCGUCACUUUCCCUCACAUCUUGGCUGGAUACCACCAAUUCCGCCCACAGAUGGGAGGUCCACCCCUCAGGGGAAAUUACGUCAUCAGGACCCCCUUAGCAACCCCCACACCCAGUUCUUUGCAUCUCUUCCUCUGUCACACAAACACUGUCCUCCCUUGCUGAUCUGGCCAUAGACAUUGAAGGCUUGCUGGUAAAAAUGCAGUCAUUGGACCAGAAAUAAGGCAGGGUCUCAAUUAAAGAACAGUGACACAUAGGGUUUUAAUGGAUGGCAUGGUGGGGGUGGGGAGCAUUCAGCAUGGGAGUGAAAUAGAAACAAAUGAAAUGAUGGGGGAUAUAAUUUAGGCAGGAACAAAGAGAAUUUUUAGAAAAGCAGACAAGAACAUCUGCAAGGGCACACCAGAAUGCCAACCUCCUUAGUUCCUAUCCAUACUCUAGGUUUAGCCAAAUUAUUUGCACAACUGUCAUUCUUCACUUCAUAUCAAAAACAUUAUUCUGGAAUUUUGGUUCAAGAUGGCGGAAGUAGAAAAAGGAAUGAGGAUAAAUGGGAUUAUACACAGCUUCAUAGUAACAGGAGAAUUUAGGGUUUGUGAUUGGUUCUGUAUUGCCUGCCAUAAAAAAGGGGGUAAGCAGAAAGAGAAGAUAGUGAUUCUGAGGGGCUCGUUGUGUCCUGACCUUUUCAAGGACCCCAACCUGCUCCCACAAUGGAAAAUGUCACUGUGGAGAUGUGGGGUAUGAGAAUUUACAAUAAGGAGUUUUAAGGUUCAUAAAGCACAAAUGAGCAAACAUGCAGUAACACCCACACAAGGCAAGGAUAAAUCACAUUAUGUGGCAGCAUGAAAUGCAGACCAUGUAGUGUAACUCCAAAGACAGUUUCAUUCAUCCAUAUAAAAGCCAGUUGGUGUUGAGUCUAGAAACUAUUCAAUGCUUUUUGCCAAGGAAUGUUUUGGACUUUAAAUGCAAUUAAAGUAAGAUCUUCUUUUCUCUAAUGGAUGUAAAUUGCCAUAUUUCAGUUAAUGACUUUCUUGUCCACUGCAGACAAACUGGUGUUGACUUAAUACAAAAGAUAUUUUAGCCACUAUUUCCAUGAAAACACAUAAAUAUGCUUUAGCAUAACUUAUGUAGAGCUACUGAAAUGUUGUCAUGGAUUCUUAUGGUAAACUUUGGAUAAAAUACAGACAAUGGUCUGUCUGUCUUGCAAGACUUCUUAAUGGCCACGAGGCAUACAGAUCACUAUUUUCUGAAAACCAAAGAUUCACUUUGACUAAUUCCGAAAGCACGCAAUCGAUAUGACCUCAGCUAAAACCAAUGGUCUUAUCUUUGCUCAACUUUAGUGUGCGUUGACAUUAUAAGACACGAACACUUCAAAGAUGCUGCUAUAAAUGCAUAAUCUAAAAAUUCUAAAAACCACAGAAGCAGUUUUCAAAUAGAAUUUUUUAGAAAAUGCACAAGUAUUCAUUUUUGUUCAGAAUCGGAUGAAGUGGAAACAGGUAUACUAUCACAGAUACAACAUAUCGAGGACAAAUAUAGGUUCCUUAAAGCUCUACUCAUCAAAAGGUCAUGGAGUUUUAAUUAUCCUUUCACACAAAGUUUCUUUUUUGUUUUAUGUCACACCCUGUUAUUUCAGAUAACGGAACAAAAACUUUUUGCGAUAGAACUUUUACCUCAGAUAUGAAACUUGGUAUUGCGUCAGAGUAAGUUUUAGAACUGCCUUAAUUCACAGUGUUCUUGGUUAACAAUAGAUUUGGAAAACACAUCUCUAUAUUUUUCUGUGUUUUUAUAUUUCUCCACAUGAAUCACAACAUAAAGCACAUUUCUAUUUGUCUGUAAAGUCUAAAUAUAUUGUUGAUUUUGAUUAAGAUAUAUAUUCUCUGCACUAAUUGAAUCUUUAUUAACUAUUCAAUGAACACAUCCUAAAAAGUUAAACUAUAUUGAAUGAUAGAGGGGAAACAAACUUAUCUUUAGAAAAAGAAAGAACAAAAGAACAAGAGUCUUGUCAAAUGCUACAAUAAAUUUUAGUUUUUUUUUUAUAGACAAAUUUAUGCCUGAGAGUUUUUAUUCCUAUUUUAUAAUAAGAAUUAUAUUCGACACAUGGCAUAUUGUGUGAAAUCUGUUUAAUUUAAUACCACCUUCUUCUGUUGUCUGGCUCUUAUGGAAUCCACUAUGUUCACUAGACUGUGGAAUCAGUCCAAAAUAAAUGACUUAUUUUUCCAACUCCUCCAGAGCUGUAUGAAGCAGGACAUUCAAGAAAACUCUGCAGCUCAAUGCUAACAUGCAUCAACUCCUGGACUCGUGUGCUUUUAAUCUUGUCCUCAAGAUAUAAAGUUGGUGAAGCUGACUCUUAUCCUGCAGCAUGCUGGUCUCAAGACGCCUAUCUACAAAGUAGAAACAUAUGCCUGCAUGUCUAUAUGAAAACAAGGAAGUAGAGAUGACACUUGACAGCUCUGAAGAGUAAGACGAUUUCUCAUUGUUUUUUCAACUAUUGUGAUCUUUCUGUUGAGGUUGGCUCUAGUACCUCUUUCAAAUGCCUCCUGGGCACCUCACUGAGGAAGUAUUCUGCUGGAGAGACUAAAUCUCUUGGUUGGCCUGAGAGCACCGAGGCAUCCUCCAAGUAGAACUGAAGAAAGUUUCUAUGUAGAAGAAGGACUAAUGUCCAUGCAACUCAGCUUUGUUUAAGAGGUAGGAGAUAGAUGGAUGGACUUCUUCCCCUCCAAUUGCUAGUAUUUUAAUGCAAAAUCUCAUUUGAAACUGAUGUCUUGAAAUUAUUAUUUUGCAUGCUGUCUAUUUUAUGCGCACCUCACCUCUGGGCCAAUGUAACAUUUGGUCUGGGGUGAAAAAAAGAAAAACUAUAACAACUUUGACCACAACAGCAGCUUAUGAUAAGGGUGAACUGCAAUAAGAGCAGGAAUUCACAGCAACAACUGUCUCCAAGUAAGAUCAAGUGCUGCAAACUGAACCAAAAAUGAAGAAGCCAAUGUUUGUUAUUGUUAUUUCUUGUACAAUUAAAAGGUCAUCCAGUUAAGUGGCUUUUUCUCCCUCUUUAAAACUGAAAAAUACUGAGUUUAGCCGAUUUCAGCACCGACUAAAGUCCUUUUAUUCAGACUUGCUGCCAACAAUGCAUGAGCCCUAGCGUCACACAGAUUAAAGGAUGAAUGGAGCAGAUAGAAAAAGGCAGACACCCCUUGCAUGGACUAGGAAUGUGAUGAGAUGGCACAGCGAUGAUUGCUUUUGGGCCCACAAGUGCACAGAACAAGUGUAGACAAAACAAACAACAAAAAAAAUCUGAACAUGACAUUUAAGUACAGGCUUAUAUGAAUAAAAAAAUCUGCAGUUAAAUGGCUCAAAUAAAGAUGUUGCAUCACUUGUGCUCUGGAGGGUUUUGAGGUCACACCUGUCAGACAAAUACAAAAAGCCUGCUCACCACCCUCACACAGCUGCCCAUAACACAUGUUUCUAAACGUUGAGGUAUAGAUCUGAUGAGAACAGGUGGAUAGAAACAGAAGACCGAAAAGGACAACAAAUGUGCAGGAUCCAGACAUGUGUGAUACCCAGCACAUUCAUAAGAGCAAUGAUUCAGUAGGGCAUGUGCAUAUUGCAUGUAAACCCAGCUCUUUAUGCUAACAAUCAUUACUUAUUUAACCAUAGCUCUAAUGCCAUCUUGUGUUGUCAAAAAUCAACCGACCUUGUAUUUCGCUCAGAGGUAUGAAGUGGCAUUCAGUCAUUUAGAAAAAGUCUUUGUUAUGGCUAUACUGUCUGUUCUAGUUCCAGAUUCAAAGCUUUGUGCUUAACUGCUGUUUUUCUCCUCAUGGAACAGAGUCACACCCCUCCUCACCAUCGACUGGCUGAGCACAGCUGGUGCCUCAAAUCUCAUUGGCUGGAAGGCACACAGGGGAGCCUUUGAGAAGUUAUCCUUUGUUUACAUGCCGGCAGAGAAAACCCCAAAAACAACUGUUACCUUGAACAAGCAGACAAUCUUCUGAUACCCAGACAGACAUAAAAGUCCUACCUUACAACAGAUGCAAGCAUGUGCAGUCAAGAAAAAAAGAAGCCCUAUUAGAAGGCUUUGUUCAUCCUGGGUAUGCAUUUAUAUACCAAUAUUUGUAAAGACACCAUAAGCCCCAGCCGUCAGAUUUUAUUAGAAUGAAGAGAGUGUUCAUCUCUGCAUCCAUGUUCCUGUUGGUAACAAGAUAGGAUUGUGCAUCUUGACUUUGGCUUGGACGUGCCUUAAUCCAAUACAGGAUGCUUUUACAGCAGAUCUCCCUUCACGUCAGCCUAACAAGCCACAAGAAGUGUAUGAAUGUGAGAGCCAUUUAAAAAGUCUGUGCAAAGUGGGAAAUACGGUAAAGGCACUUUAUGGUGAUUAAAGCAUCAACAGAGCGGGAAUUAAAAAGAAAGAAAUAAUGAAUCUUUAGAAAGCUCGGCCUCUAGAUAUGAGCCACAUAUCUGCUUCAAUUUCAUCAAUGCAUACCUAGGAUGACCUUGAUAAGAUCAUCAAUAUAAAGUCCAAAGCUUGCUUGUACAAGCCUCUGCACGUCUGUCUUUUAAAUCAAUCGAUCCUCCACUCCCCACACAGGCAGGCGCACACAAGCCCACAUUAGCUCUCUAUCAGAAAAUCCAGCUUCCUGGCCUGUGCCUCAAUCUGGAACCAUAGCAACGAAACCAUCCUGCACUGUAAACAAAUCCUUUGUCCUGUAGGCCUCCUGAUUGCGUCACUCGUGCUGCCAUGCCAUCAUAACGUUUCAUCCCUCCGUCCAACUGAUAAGCGGUAAGAGAUAUACUGGUUUUCUGUGAAAAAUUGACAAGACUUUUCAAAUCGCCAAGCAACUUAAUCAGAAGCAAUGACAACCAUCCAAAGUCAAAAUACUUAAGAAAGUAAGAGUUUUGUUUAAACUGCAGCGAUCUCUGGAAAAAUAGCACAAUCUGAUGGAGAUGAGAUGGCCGUGACAAUCCAAACAAUCCCAAAAUUUGUGUUUGGGAUGACUGUAGUAUUGACUAUAGUAAAAAAAAAAACAACUAUUGCACAGCAAAAAAGUACAAAAGAAAGUAAAGAGGUUGCAGUUUUUGAUACUGGGUGAAAAAAAGGAACAAAACUUUACAUGGAUCAAAGUUUAUUGGCAAACUACAAUUCAACAAACAGGAAAUAUUGUGCUUGAAACUAAAUAGCAUGAAAAGUCUUUGUUGACAGAGGGAAGUCUUUCCUAACUGACUAAAAGCCCCCAGAGAUGUUGUUAAAGAGCAUGUUCCUCAAACAUUUACACAAUAAAACAAUGUUAGUGCAAUGUGGGUUACAAAGGUUGUGACAUUUUGCUAUGCAAUGGUGAGUUGGUGCCCAGAGAUGCCGAGAUGCUGUAUAAAGUUUUCCAAAAUUUGUUAGUCAUCUUUAAAAAAAUAAAAAUAAAAAAAUCGCCACAAGUUAGUCAAAUACAGGGUCUGAUUCGGGUACAAUACUUCAGAUCUGAAAAAUCAAACAUGACCACAAAUGAACGCAGGUCAUAACAGAGUGGAAACUGACUUUUUCCACAUACUUGAGCGAAUUAAUAAUUCGCUAAGAGUUAGUGGACACACUAACUCUGGUAUUAAAAGAACAUCACAACAGCCACAGCAUCAGCAUUUACGGGAAACAGAGAGGGCAAGAGAGGCUCUGUUAAAGAAACAAGAGAGAGGAGAGGGAAGAAGGGGGUUCAAAGAUCAGAAAACAGAUGUAAACCGUUUCGCAAACUCCUCUCGAAAUGACUAACACAUGUGCAAGAGUUUCCCUUCCUACGCACAAACACCGCACACCCUAAAAGGCAACACUUAUAUAUGGCACCUGUUUUUGUCACCUCUCUUAAUGUAACUGACCUAUAUUUAAAGGCAUCUUUCCUUUGAAAUGUUUCUCUACAGUACACAGUUUGUCUUUUAUUUAGCCAGCCUCCACCCAGCAAAGUACAUAAAAACUUUGUCUCCAGCUAAGGUUUGCUCUGUUUGCUUUAUGUUACAUUUUGACAGACGGCAUAAAAAAAGGCACAACGCAAGAUGAAGAAAUUAGAUAGGUUUAAACCCUGCAAACCUGUUGCACAUUUUUCAAAACAAAGAAGGCCCACAAACACCCAUUCACCUGACAUUUGGUCAGGCUGGGUGAUGACAGCACAUGGUAGCUUGUCAGCACUGACUAAGGCCAUGUGCUUUGACCAGAAGGCAGUAGUCAUUGCUGUGCUGUUACAAACAGCUUGACUCACAGGAAAAUGAAUACAGAUCACACAUAAACCAUGAUUUCUUCAUUUUCUGUCUUAAAUAGGUUAAAGGACACUGAUGGUAACAUUUCUACAGUACAUAAAAGUAUUUAAAAGUAAGAUUAGAGACUAUUUCUUGUAAAGUUAGGCUAGUGAUUUAAAGGGUGUCGUCUUUAAAAACGUGCAGUUUCUUAAGGUAAAAACACGUAAAGCAAAGCGUUUCGAUUCUAUGUCGGUUUGCGACAAACACCAGAUGAUAAACAGUUUCCUACACACCAUAUUUUUUUAAAAAUAUAUUUACUCAACUGCCAUGAUGAAACGAUUAAAAAAAAAUAACAGUCCGUACGAGCUGAAAACAACAACAACCUGAACGUGUUUGUUCUUAACUGUCCCGCCACGACAGACAAAAGGAGACAAUGAGUGUGAAAAAGCUGGACAAGCAGGAUUUCCAAAACACAGAGCAGGAAGGCCCUUCCAACAACACCGCCACACCAGGACUGCAGAAAAUCAAGCUGUCAAACCUGUGAGAUUCAGUUUCCUGGAAUUCCAAAUACUGAGGGGAGUGUGUGGGAAGAGAACACAAAAGGAUCCUGUCAUUCAUUGUUCCCAUGUGCACAAAGCAGAGCUCUUCCAUGACAGUAGAAGGCUCCGGAUCAAGGAAAUGUCCUAUAAACUCAUCCGGCUUCGUGGGAGGGGUCAAAUAGGCGCUGCCACGGAUUUAUUUCUCACUGAUAUGGACACACACACAGACAAAGAUAAAGCCCUCUUGGGCCCAGGAGAUCAAAGCUGCAUCUGUUCAGCUGGAAGUCUGUACAAAAACACCAAUGAUUAAAUCAGGACACACAUAUACACACCCUGGAAAAACAUGCUGGACUGGAUCAUAAUAACUCAGAACUCUCCUUCUAAUAAUAACAUCAAGACUCUCCAGUCUGUUACUUAACUUUUUAUAUGCAACAUCUGCAGUUAACUGGCUUUAGUGUCACUUUCCCCUCCUUGAAAACAGCAACAUGGUUUGAACCCUCGAUGGUUGAGUCAGAAAGGCUUCCUCUGCUUAGCAGGAGUCAGCUGGUAGUGAGAUGGAGUGCCGUGGGGCAAAUGCAUGUGAGUGUCUGCAUGUGAGUGUCUGAUCACUGUAGUGAACUCAGCUUUUGCUGUGAACUUCUAUUGGCAGUUUUUAGCUCAAUCAUGUUAUUUUAGCUGUAAACCAUGUUUUAUACCAGAUCAACUUUAAACUUUAAUUACCUAUAUAUACAGUGUCAAAUUAACAGUUUAUGGACUAAGACGAUCAGCCCAGCAGAUGUCCAAGCUUCUGGAGGGAUGAGCAGAUUACUGUUCAGGGUUCUCAUUCAAACAGUCCCCUCCUCCCUCUCAGUCUUCUGGAGCUGUCAGUUUUGGUCCAUAUUAUUGAUCAGUCAGAAGACACAGAUCAGACAGUCUCCAGAAAAUAACAUGACAAUUCUUUAGCCUAAAGAGUUCUGGAUUAAAAAAUGUUGUAAAGUUGAUUUGCAAAAAAUGUAUUUGUUGUAGUAUUUUU